GGGGAACGGACAGCAAUGGGGAAAACAGGGAAAUAAAGCUAAUGUGAACGCGAUACAGGGAACUUCUGUAUUGUAAGUUAUAAGUGUAGAGCGCAGAAACCAGUGUGUAACUUAUAGCACAAGAUUGUUGGCACAACAGUCAGUUAAGAGGACAAGCUGCAUACAGUGGAAACAGGAGGAAUUUCAACGCGAAGUUAUGAGACUGUUUAUAUUUGGCGCUAAGGCUAAAGCUAAGCUACUCGUAAUACAUCCAUGGUAUAGCCUCGUGUCAGUUCAUUACACAUGAGCAGAUGUGGGAUAGUUGAAGUUUAAUUUAUUCAGUUGAACGUGUUGAAGGAGCUGCUGCUUCGACCUGAAGUAAGCAAAGACUCAGACAGAGCUGAAGUAACCAGUGAGAAACCAGUGCUUUACUCUGCAUUCUUCUGGAGACGCGGGAAGAGAAAAGACAACCGACGGAGAUCGUGAUGAGAUGCUAACGUGAUGCUGAAUCUGCACCUGUGACUGCGGACAGCAGAUAGGCCAAGAACGUUAAACCAGGAGGCUUCUGUGUCACCACCGUCACACCACUCACACCUGGAAACAACAAGAUGACAUGGAGUCAAGAGAAACACACAGACUGAUGAAUCCAACAUGAGGAGGCUUCUGUGUCACCACCGUCACACCACUCACACCUGGAAACAACAAGAUGACAUGGAGUCAAGAGAAACACACAGACUGAUGAAUCCAACAUGAGAGAGCUGACACACUGACCACUUCAUUUGCAUGGAGCUAUAAAUGAAGAUUGGAGGCAUGCAGGUGCAUCCGGGGCAGAGGAAAGAGGCAGGAGAAGAGGGGGAGGUGUCGCUUCACUGACUCAGAGUGAAAACUCAUUGUCAUUUAUUACUCAUCUGUCUGAUUAUUUUAACAUCCUGAUUAUUGCAAAUGACUCAAAUAUAACCCUUGGAUUAUGUGCGUUUCAUGUUACUAACUUUUGUGUUCCCAUUCAAAACUGUUUGACCUUUGUUGGUCUAUUAUGCUCUGUGGACAGAGAAAUGUCUCACCAUUAAGUUUAUUGCCAUGCAUUUGUAACUUUGUAACUUUAUUCUCAAAAUUCAGUUUUAUCUUACUGACUCCAUUUUAGCAUUCAUUGUACUGAGUUAGCCUUACAGAUGUCCAAAAUCAAACU